rfam:Peptococcaceae bacterium BRH_c4a BRHa_1000687, whole genome shotgun sequence.
UAUAUGGAGAGUUUGAUCCUGGCUCAGGACGAACGCUGGCGGCGUGCUUAACACAUGCAAGUCGAACGGUUUGGUCGGAGGUCGUCAGACGUCGGACGUUGGUAAGGAAGCAGGAAUUCCAGGUCAUUGACCUGGAAGGAAGGCCGAAAAAACUGACGACUGCUGCCUGACGACCGACGACCGAAUAGUGGCGGACGGGUGAGUAACGCGUGGAUAACCUGCCCAAGAGAUCGGGAUAACGCCGGGAAACUGGUGCUAAUACCGGAUACGUUCCUGAGGUUGCAUAAUUUCGGGAAGAAAGGAGAAAUCCGCUCAUGGAUGGAUCCGCGUCCCAUUAGCUAGUUGGUGGGGUAA